rnacentral:rRNA from 1 species
ACGAACGCUGGCGGCAUGCCUAACACCUGCAAGUCGAACGCGACCUUCGGGUCUAGUGGCGCACGGGUGCGUCACGCGUGGGAACCUGCCCUUAGGUUCGGAAUAACUCCCCGAAAGGGGUGCUAAUACCGGAUAAUGUCUUCGGACCAAAGAUUUAUCGCCUUUGGAUGGGCCCGCGUUGGAUUAGCUAGUUGGUAGGGUAAAAGCCUACCAAGGCGACGAUCCAUAGCUGGUCUGAGAGGAUGAUCAGCCACACUGGGACUGAGACACGGCCCAGACUCCUACGGGAGGCAGCAGUGGGGAAUAUUGGACAAUGGGCGAAAGCCUGAUCCAGCAAUGCCGCGUGAGUGAUGAAGGCCUUAGGGUUGUAAAGCUCUUUUACCCGGGAUGAUAAUGACAGUACCGGGAGAAUAAGCUCCGGCUAACUCCGUG